UUGAAACUGAAUCUGGGCAGGUGCCGAGUCCCUGCCCUGAGUUCCAUGGCAGACGAGAUCAGCCAGGAGAUUCUUCACCCAGGCUGAUGACAAGGAAGCCCAGGUGACCUGUGAGUGCUGUCAUCCAGGUGAGAUGCCACAUCCACAGUCCCAGUGCAGAACAGGAAGCACUACAGCUGCAGUGCUGAGCUGCCAACAGGGUGGCUGGGCACCACGGGACCGAGGACCUCUGUCUGCUGGGAGGGUGGGGAGAGGCUGACCAGCUUCCUGGAGGCUGGCAGAGCUGCACAACGGGACAGGUCACAGCUGCUCUCUGCACUCAGCUCUGUCUCUGCCUGUGGCCUUGCCAUGGGAGGAAGGAUCCCACAGUGGUCUCUUGCUUCCAGAACACAGAUUGCUGUGGAAGAGUGGACAGCGUUUUGUUUUUUGGUUGAGAAAUGAUGAUAUCGUAACCUAAAGAGUUCUAUUCUGCUUUUGAUUCCAUCCAGCAAUCUGUAGUCUUUUUUUCUUUUUGGAGUUCGUGUGUGCUAGACCAACAACCCCCCUAUUACCAGAGGACCGGUGGCCAUUCACAGAAGGACGAGACCACAGGUGGAAGGAAGAUGCUCAACGUCUCCCCAGGUGGGGGUCUUCUGGCUGUCCUGUGCACAGUACUGAAGGAAGCAUCACAUUUAAAGAGGAGAGAGGUGUUUUCCUUUUCCACAAAUUAUAAGAACCCAAAUUUGUUUUUGACUUUUCCUGCUAUAACAAAAAAAUAUCCAGUGUUAUACUAGGUUACUAGGUAGGGGAUAUUUUUGAACACAUGCACACCUGUAAUCUCUCCAUUCCGAGUAAGAUGAACCAUUUUAACCAUGAAGGGAGAAACCAUAUUUUUAGAACUAAGAACACAGGCUGUGGAUAAAUUAUUUGAAAAACAUGUAUUUAGAAAUAUCUUUGUGAUUUUAUUGCCAAAAUCAAUAUAAAAACUCUUGUAU